rnacentral:rRNA from 1 species
UACGAAGGGGGCUAGCGUUGCUCGGAAUUACUGGGCGUAAAGGGAGCGUAGGCGGGUCGUCAAGUUGGGGGUGAAAGCCCAGGGCUCAACCUUGGAAUUGCCUUCAAAACUGACGAUCUAGAGUAUGGAAGAGGUAAGUGGAACUCCGAGUGUAGAGGUGAAAUUCGUAGAUAUUGGGAAGAACACCGGUGGCGAAGGCGGCGACCUGGUCCGGGACUGACGCUGAGGCGCGAAAGCGUGGGGAGCAAACAGG